rnacentral:rRNA from 1 species
UACAGAGGUGGCAAGCGUUGUUCGGAAUUACUGGGCGUAAAGGGCGCGUAGGCGGCUUGGUCAGUCCCGUGUGAAAUCCCUCGGCUCAACUGAGGAACUGCACGGGAAACUGCCUGGCUUGAGUUCGGGAGAGGGAAGCGGAAUUCCGGGUGUAGCGGUGAAAUGCGUAGAUAUCUGGAGGAAUACCGGUGGCGAAGGCGGCAUCCUGGACCGACAUUGACGCUGAUGAGCGAAAGCUAGGGGAGCAAACGGG